rnacentral:rRNA from 1 species
CUACGGGCUGCUCCAGUCGAGAAUCAUUGUCAAUGUACGAAAGUAUGAACAUGCGACGCCACGUGGAGGACGAAGGCCUUCGGGUUGUAAACUCCUGUCCUGAGGGAGUAAGUGCAUGACGGUUAAUACCCGUUGUGUUUGAUAGUACCUCAGAAGAAAGUCACGGCUAACUCUGUGCCAGCAGCCGCGGUAAUACAGAUGUGGCAAGUGUUGUUCGGAUUUACUGGGCGUAAAGGGUCCGCAGGCUGUUUUGUGUGUCGGAUGUGAAAGCUCACGGCUCAACCGUGGAAUUGCAUUCGAAACUACAGAACUAGAGUACAGGAGGGGAGCAGGGAAUUCAUGGUGUAGCGGUGAAAUGCGUAGAUAUCAUGAAGAACACCGGUGGCGAAGGCGCUGCUCUGGACUGAUACUGACGCUCAUGGACGAAAGCUGGGGGAGCGAAGAGGAUUAGAUACCCUGGUAGUC